UACGAAGGGGGCUAGCGUUGCUCGGAAUCACUGGGCGUAAAGGGUGCGUAGGCGGGUUUUUAAGUCAGGGGUGAAAUCCUGGAGCUCAACUCCAGAACUGCCUUUGAUACUGAAGAUCUUGAGUUCGGGAGAGGUGAGUGGAACUGCGAGUGUAGAGGUGAAAUUCGUAGAUAUUCGCAAGAACACCAGUGGCGAAGGCGGCUCACUGGCCCGCUACUGACGCUGAGGCACGAAGGCGUGGGGAGCAAACAGG
rnacentral:rRNA from 1 species